ACUCACCUCUCUGCCAUUUUCCCACCGGCUCCUAAAAUUAAUCAGCAAGAACAUACAAAAUGCCCUCCAUGUUGGUGAAAUUGCGGUAGCCGCAGUCACGGAAUCACUUCUCCUAGACUAGUGUCAAGGCAACGGCGAUCAUGCUUCCUGGAGUGGAUCCAUGGGGAGGCUGCUUUCCUAAUGAUUCCGUUUGGAAACAUCGCUUCAUCCAGCCGCAGUGAGGACAGAGAAGCGGACCUGCAUCUGCAAACACUGAUCUUAAUCUUUGCUGGAAAUACUGCAGCCAUGGAAGGCUCGUCCGGUACAGUCGGUGGAUGGAUCCCUUUCUGGCAUUGCUCGGAUGUUGUGCGUUCUGCAGCUAUGUUCGCUUGAUGGAAAUAGUCCAGACAUGCUUUUUCCAGUUAAAAAUAUCCUGGGAAUAAUUGAGCAUUAUUUACCUUAGCCUGUCUUUUGGGCUGAGUUGCGCUUCAUGAUUCAAGUUUUUACCACCACCGAGCUGGAUGAUACUGUGAUUCCCUAUAGUUUUCAAUUGCAGUGCAAGGUCUGCGAAAGAGAAGCAAGCUGAAGCCAAAAUGUUUAAUUUAAAGAGCCUGCUGCGGAUUUCCAACCGAUCAUUUUUGGUCGUCAUAUUUCUCUUCUCUAUGUCCACCACCUGUCUUUACUUUAUUUAUGUGGCCCCAGGAACAGCCAAUACAUACUACUUCAUGGUGCAGGCCCAGGGCUUAAUACCAGGACUGUGAACACCACGUCUCUGGUCAAGAGGGCACAGAAACGCUUGUAUUUCUUGCGGAGGAUGAGAAGAGCACACCUGCCCCCGCCCAUCCUCAAGACGUUCUACAGAAGCACCAUAGAGAGCAU